rnacentral:lncRNA from 1 species
GGUAUAAAAUGAUGACCAAUCAAAGGGAGAAACGAUCAUUACCGUCGAAAGGAAAAUGAAAGAUGACUCGCUGGGGAUACACUGACAAAGGCAAUGAUCCGAGAGAUAUAUCACCGGUUACCGGGAGAUAUACUCAAAAAGGGUGAAGGACUAUCAAUACCGAAUAUUGGAUAAAGAUAACCGUCAAGGAGGGGAUUACAUCUACCAGAUACUGGAUAG